rnacentral:rRNA from 1 species
UAGGGAAUCUUCCACAAUGGACGCAAGUCUGAUGGAGCAACACCGCGUGAGUGAAGAAGGGUUUCGGCUCGUAAAGCUCUGUUGUUAAAGAAGAACACGUAUGAGAGUAACUGUUCAUACGUUGACGGUAUUUAACCAGAAAGUCACGGCUAACUACGUGCCAA